rnacentral:snRNA from 1 species
AAACUUACCUGGCUGGCGCUCGGGGCGGCUCAAGAAUCGCCCUGUCGUGAUUCGGAGCAGGGCACUGCACUCAGCCGACUGUAAUGAAUCAUAGGCUUUUUUAUAAAAGUACUAACAGCAUAAUUUUUUUAUAAGGCGAUUCGUCGCCAA